GAUAUACUCCCUCCUUCCUAAAAUUCUUGUCUUACAUUUGUCUAGAUAUAAAUGCAUCUAGUCAUGUUUUAGUAUUUAGAUACAUUAAUUUUUGAACAAAUCUAAGACAAGAAUUUUAAGACGAAGGGAGUAUAAG
rfam:Hordeum vulgare subsp. vulgare, WGS project CAJW01000000 data, contig: morex_contig_164436